rnacentral:lncRNA from 1 species
UAAAUAAUUUGUUUGUUUUUUUUUUUGUUUUUUUUUUUUAUCAUUUUAAACAAUAUACUUUCCAGUAUUCAAGAAAUUGUUUUGUACACUACUUUGUAAUGUUUUUCACUGAAAACGUAACAUUAAGGUGUAUUUUCCGGAAUUGGCCGAGUAUUACCGGAAUGCCAUGUGAUAACGUUACGGAAAGGCAUGUGAUAACAAUCGAAGCAUGUGAUAAACUUUUCAUAUCAGCCCGCUAAGCACCAAUUCGAAAAAUAUGAAAUUUACG